rnacentral:rRNA from 1 species
AGCGGACUGCUCAGUAACACGUGGAUAACCUGCCCUUAGGAUCGGCAUAACCCCGGGAAACUGGGGAUAAUUCCGAAUAGGCCAUGAAUGCUGGAAUGCUUCGUGGUUCAAAGCUCCGGCGCCUAAGGAUGGAUCUGCGGCCUACCAGGUAGUAGUGGGUCUAGAGUACCUACUAGCCUACGACGGGUACGGGUUGUGAGAGCAAGAGCCCGGAGAUGGAUUCUGAGACAUGAAUCCAGGCCCUACGGGGCGCAGCAGGCGCGAAAACUUUACAAUGCGGGAAACCGCGAUAAGGGGACACUGAGUGCCAGCAUAUUAUGUUGGCUGUCCACAUGUGUAAACGGCAUGUGUUAGCAAGGGCCGGGCAAGACCGGUGCCAGCCGCCGCGGUAACACCGGCGGCCCGAGUGGUGAUCAUUAUUAUUGGGUCUAAAGGGUCCGUAGCCGGUUUGAUCAGUCCUUUGGGAAAUCUGACAGCUCAACUGUUAGGCUUCUAAGGGAUACUGUCAGACUUGGGACCGGGAGAGGUAAGAGGUACCACAAGGGUAGGAGUGAAAUCUUGUAAUCCUUGUGGGACCACCAGUGGCGAAGGCGUCUUACC